rnacentral:rRNA from 1 species
AACGAACGCUGGCGGCAGGCCUAACACAUGCAAGUCGAACGAAGCCUUCGGGCUUAGUGGCGGACGGGUGAGUAACACGUGGGAACGUACCUUUUGGUUCGGAAUAACGCAGAGAAAUUUGCGCUAAUACCGAAUGAGCCCUUCGGGGGAAAGAUUUAUCGCCGAAAGAUCGGCCCGCGUUGGAUUAGGUAGUUGGUGUGGUAAAGGCGCACCAAGCCUACGAUCCAUAGCUGGUCUGAGAGGAUGAUCAGCCACACUGGGACUGAGACACGGCCCAGACUCCUACGGGAGGCAGCAGUGGGGAAUCUUGCGCAAUGGGCGAAAGCCUGACGCAGCCAUGCCGCGUGAAUGAUGAAGGUCUUAGGAUUGUAAAAUUCUUUUACCAGGGACGAUAAUGACGGUACCUGGAGAAAAAGCCCCGGCUAACUUCGUGCCAGCCGCCGCAGUAA